GAUGAAGAACGUAGCGAAAUGCGAUAAGUAAUGUGAAUUGCAGAAUUCAGUGAAUCAUCGAAUCUUUGAACGCACAUUGCGCCCGCCAGUAUUCUGGCGGGCAUGCCUGUCUGAGCGUCAUUUCAACCCUCAUGCCCCUAGGGCGUGGUGUUGGGGAUCGGCCAAAGCCCGCGAGGGACGGCCGGCCCCUAAAUCUAGUGGCGGACCCGUCGUGGCCUCCUCUGCGAAGUAGUGAUAUUCCGCAUCGGAGAGCGAUGAGCCCCUGCCGUUAAACCCCCAACUUUCCAAGGUUGACCUCAGAUCAGGUAGGAAUACCCGCUGAACUUAAGCAUAUCAAUACGGAGGA
rnacentral:misc_RNA from 1 species